rnacentral:rRNA from 1 species
CUCAGGGGUAAACGGAAAAGACCCGAAAUUUCCGAAAAGGGAGAUUCACGUCUUCUCGCGGGUUCGACGCAUCCGCUCCUCUCCGACGGCCCUGCCCCCGCUCGGACUCGUCCGGCGCGUGGUGGUGGGGUUGCAGAGGGCGGUGUGGAGGCCUGCGGCGGACCGCACUUCUCCCUUAGUAGGACGUCGUGACCCGUCCGGUCAUGGUCAUAAGGUCGCAGGGUGGAGCCCGCCCGUUCGUGCUUGCACGUUUUUCGGGCGGACCCCCGCGUCCCGGCCAUGAUAUCCCCGGUCGGUAUCGAAUGACGGUGUUCGGUCGCUCACCGGCGGAGGAAACUCCUGCCAGAGAGCGCGAUUGAUAUAGCCCUUGACAAGGUGCCGGGAUUGUCGGUCAAGGCGGGCUUCCGUCCGUCUGGCUGCGCUCGGCCCUGUUAGUCUUGGUGCCCUUUCGCUCGGCCUAUUUACACUUGUCUACGGCGAAUCAGUUUUGGGCUCUUGUCCGACCCGUCUUGAAACACGGACCAAGGAGUUCAGCGUGUACGCAAGUCAUUGGGUUGUAAAACCCAAAGGCGAAAUGAAAGUGAAGGGAACUUUGCGUUUCUGAGGGAUGAUGAGUCGGUUACCCGCAAGGGGCUGCUCCGCACUCCCGGGGCGUCUCUUUCUCACUGCGAGUGGAGGCGCACCCAGAGCGUACACGCUGAUACCCGAAAGAUGGUGAACUAUGCCUGGCCAGGACGAAGCCAGGGGAAACCCUGGUGGAGGUCCGCAGCGAUUCUGACGUGCAAAUCGAUCGUCGGAGCUGGGUAUAGGGGCGAAANGACCAUCGA